rnacentral:rRNA from 1 species
UACGAAGGGUGCUAGCGUUGUUCGGAAUCACUGGGCGUAAAGCGCGCGUAGGCGGCUUUUCAAGUCAGAGGUGAAAUCCCACAGCUUAACUGUGGAACUGCCUUUGAAACUGAAAAGCUAGAGUGUCGGAGGGGAUGGCGGAAUUCCUAAUGUAGAGGUGAAAUUCGUAGAUAUUAGGAGGAACACCGGUGGCGAAGGCGGCCAUCUGGACGACAACUGACGCUGAGGCGCGAAAGCGUGGGGAUCAAACAGG